GGGCGGUUAGCUCAGAGGUAGAGCGCCUGCCUUACAAGCAAGUGGUCACUGGUUCAAGUCCAGUACCGCCCA
rnacentral:tRNA from 1 species